rnacentral:rRNA from 1 species
ACAGUGGACGCGAGCAUCUGUGGCCAAGUUUUUAAGGGCGCACGGUGGAUGCCUUGGCACCAGGAACCGAUGAAGGACGUGGGAGGCCACGAUAGUCCCCGGGGAGUCGUCAACCAGGCUUUGAUCCGGGGGUUUCCGAAUGGGGAAACCCGGCAGUCGUCAUGGGCUGUCACCCUUGYCUGAACACAUAGGGCAAGUGGAGGGAACGCGGGGAAGUGAAACAUCUCAGUACCCGCAGGAAGAGAAAACAACCGUGAUUCCGGGAGUAGUGGCGAGCGAAACCGGAUGAGGCCAAACCGUAUGCGUGUGAGACCCGGCAGGGGUUGCGCAUUCGGGGUUGUGGGAUCUCUCUUUCAUGGUCUGCCGGCCAUGAGACGAGUCAGAAACCGUUGAUGUAGGCGAAGGACAUGCGAAAGGUCCGGCGUAGAGGGUAAGACCCCCGUAGUCGAAACGUCAGCGGCUCGUUUGAGAGACACCCAAGUAGCACGGGGCCCGAGAAAUCCCGUGUGAAUCUGGCGGGACCACCCGCUAAGCCUAAAUAUUCCCUGGUGACCGAUAGCGGAUAGUACCGUGAGGGAAUGGUGAAAAGUACCGCGGGAGCGGAGUGAAAUAGUACCUGAAACCGUGUGCCUACAAGCCGUGGGAGCGUCGGAGUGGAGCUUGCUCCAUUCUCGUGACUGCGUGCCUUUUGAAGAAUGAGCCUGCGAGUUUGCGGUGUGUUGCGAGGUUAACCCGUGUGGGGAAGCCGUAGCGAAAGCGAGUCCGAAUAGGGCGAUUCAGUAGCGCGCUCAAGACCCGAAGCGGAGUGAUCUAGCCAUGGGCAGGUUGAAGCGGAGGUAAGACUUCGUGGAGGACCGAACCCACCAGGGUUGAAAACCUGGGGGAUGACCUGUGGUUAGGGGUGAAAGGCCAAUCAAACUCCGUGAUAGCUGGUUCUCCCCGAAAUGCAUUUAGGUGCAGCGUCGUGUGUUUCUUGCCGGAGGUAGAGCACUGGAUAGGCGAUGGGCCCUACCGGGUUACUGACCUUAGCCAAACUCCGAAUGCCGGUAAGUGAGAGCGCGGCAGUGAGACUGUGGGGGAUAAGCUCCAUGGUCGAGAGGGAAACAGCCCAGAGCAUCGACUAAGGCCCCUAAGCGUACGCUAAGUGGGAAAGGAUGUGGAGUCGCAGAGACAACCAGGAGGUUGGCUUAGAAGCAGCCACCCUUGAAAGAGUGCGUAAUAGCUCACUGGUCUAGUGAUUCCGCGCCGACAAUGUAGCGGGGCUCAAGCGUACCGCCGAAGUCGUGUCAUUCACACAAUAGGGCCAACGCCUGUGUGGAUGGGUAGGGGAGCGUCGUGUGCCGGGUGAAGCAGCACCGGAAGGUAGUUGUGGACGGUUCACGAGUGAGAAUGCAGGCAUGAGUAGCGAUACAAACGUGAGAAACGUUUGCGCCGAUUGACUAAGGGUUCCUGGGUCAAGCUGAUCUGCCCAGGGUAAGUCGGGACCUAAGGCGAGGCCGACAGGCGUAGUCGAUGGAUAACCGGUUGAUAUUCCGGUACCCGCUGUGAAGCGUCAAACAUCGAAUCCAGUGAUGCUAAGCCCGUGAAGCCGCCGGCUGAGUCUUCGGACGAGGUCGGAGUGGUGGAGCCGGUGACCCGAGCUGGUAGUAGGUGAGUGAUGGGGUGACGCAGGAAGGUAGUCCAUCCCGGGCGGUGGUUGUCCCGGGGUAAGGGUGUAGGACGCAGGGUAGGCAAAUCCGCCUUGCACAUAGUCUGAGACCUGAUGCCGAGCCGAUUGUGGUGAAGUGGAUGAUCCUAUGCUGUCGAGAAAAGCCUCUAGCGAGUUUCAUGGCGGCCCGUACCCUAAACCGACUCAGGUGGUCAGGUAGAGAAUACCGAGGCGUUCGGGUGAACUAUGGUUAAGGAACUCGGCAAAAUGCCCCCGUAACUUCGGGAGAAGGGGGGCCACAUCCGGUGAUGAGCUUYGCGCUCUGAGCUGGGGGUGGCCGCAGAGACCAGCGAGAAGCGACUGUUUACUAAAAACACAGGUCCGUGCGAAGCCGUAAGGCGAUGUAUACGGACUGACGCCUGCCCGGUGCUGGAACGUUAAGGGGACCGGUUAGUCCGAUUUCGGUCGGGCGAAGCUGAGAACUUAAGCGCCAGUAAACGGCGGUGGUAACUAUAACCAUCCUAAGGUAGCGAAAUUCCUUGUCGGGUAAGUUCCGACCUGCACGAAUGGCGUAACGACUUCUCGACUGUCUCAACCAUAGGCCCGGUGAAAUUGCACUACGAGUAAAGAUGCUCGUUUCGCGCAGCAGGACGGAAAGACCCCGGGACCUUUACUACAGUUUGAUAU